rnacentral:rRNA from 1 species
UACGUAUGUCGCAAGCGUUAUCCGGAUUUAUUGGGCGUAAAGCGCGUCUAGGCGGUUUAGUAAGUCUGAUGUGAAAAUGCGGGGCUUAACCCCGUAUUGCGUUGGAAACUGCUAUGCUAGAGUGCAGGAGAGGUAGGCGGAACUACAAGUGUAGAGGUGAAAUGCGUAGAUAUAUGUAGGAAUGCCGAUGGCGAAGCCAGCCUUCUGGACAGAUACUGACGCUAAAGCGCGAAAGCGUGGGUAGCAAACAGG